rnacentral:rRNA from 1 species
AGAACGAACGCUGGCGGCAUGCCUAACACAUGCAAGUCGAACGAGACCUUCGGGUCUAGUGGCGCACGGGUGCGUAACGCGUGGGAAUCUGCCCUUGGGUUCGGAAUAACAGCGAGAAAUUGCUGCUAAUACCGGAUGAUGACGUAAGUCCAAAGAUUUAUCGCCCAAGGAUGACGCCCGCGUAGGAUUAGCUUGGUUGGUGAGGUAAGAGCUACACCGAAGGCGACGAUCCUUAGCGUGGUCUGAGAGGA